UUGAAACACUGGUUUUCGUACGAUCACCGAAGUUAAGCAACGUCGAGUCAGGUCAGUACCUAGAUAGGUAACCGCUUGGGAAAACCAGGUGGUGCAA